ensembl:scaRNA
GGCCUCUCUCCCAUUGGGCUGUGGGACCCCUUUCCUUCUCAGCCAGGACUGGAGGCCAAGAUUAGUCCUUGAGGAUCAUUAUCAGGACUGCUGUGAGUGGACAGACUUCUUUUCCUGCCUCAGACACUG